CAGGGAAUCUUGCGCAAUGGGCGAAAGCCUGACGCAGCGACGCCGCGUGGAGGAAGACGGUUUUCGGAUUGUAAACUCCUUUUCUGGAGGAAGAGAAUGGACGGUACUUCAGGAAUAAGCCCCGGCUAACUACGUGCCAGCAGCCGCGGUAAGACGUAGGGGGCAAGCGUUGUUCGGAUUUAUUGGGCGUAAAGGGCAUGUAGGCGGAUAAGAAAGUCCACGGUGAAAGAUCUCGGCUUAACCGAGGGGUAUUCGUGGAAACUUCUUGUCUUGAGGGCAGCAGAGGCGAGUGGAAUUCCCGGAGUAGCGGUGAAAUGCGUAGAUUUCGGGAGGAACACCAGUGGCGAAGGCGACUCGCUGGGCUGUUUCUGACGCUGAGGUGCUAAAGCGUGGGGAGCGAACCGG
rnacentral:rRNA from 1 species